GAUGAACGCUGGCGGCGUGCCUAAUACAUGCAAGUCGAGCGAACGGACGAGAAGCUUGCUUCUCUGAUGUUAGCGGCGGACGGGUGAGUAACACGUGGAUAACCUACCUAUAAGACUGGGAUAACUUCGGGAAACCGGAGCUAAUACCGGAUAAUAUUUUGAACCGCAUGGUUCAAAAGUGAAAGACGGUCUUGCUGUCACUUAUAGAUGGAUCCGCGCUGCAUUAGCUAGUUGGUAAGGUAACGGCUUACCAAGGCAACGAUGCAUAGCCGACCUGAGAGGGUGAUCGGCCACACUGGAACUGAGACACGGUCCAGACUCCUACGGGAGGCAGCAGUAGGGAAUCUUCCGCAAUGGGCGAAAGCCUGACGGAGCAACGCCGCGUGAGUGAUGAAGGUCUUCGGAUCGUGAAACUCUGUUAUUAGGGAAGAACAUAUGUGUAAGUAACUGUGCACAUCUUGACGGUACCUGAUCAGAAAGCCACGGCUAACUACGUG
rnacentral:rRNA from 1 species